GAUCAUGGCUCAGGAUGAACGCUGGCGGCGUGCCUAACACAUGCAAGUCGAGCGAUCUCUCGGAGAAGAGCGGCGGACGGGUGAGUAACGCGUGGGUAACCUGCCCUGUACACACGGAUAACAUACCGAAAGGUAUGCUAAUACGGGAUAAUAUGCUUUAGUCGCAUGGCUGAAGUAUCAAAGCUCCGGCGGUACAGGAUGGACCCGCGUCUGAUUAGCUAGUUGGUGAGGUAAUGGCUCACCAAGGCGACGAUCAGUAGCCGACCUGAGAGGGUGAUCGGCCACAUUGGAACUGAGACACGGUCCAAACUCCUACGGGAGGCAGCAGUGGGGAAUAUUGCACAAUGGGCGAAAGCCUGAUGCAGCAACGCCGCGUGAACGAUGAAGGCCUUCGGGUCGUAAAGCUCUGUCCUCAAGGAAGAUAAUGACGGUACUUGAGGAGGAAGCCCCGGCUAACUACGUGCCAGCCGCGGC
rnacentral:rRNA from 1 species